rnacentral:tRNA from 1 species
UAAAAGAUAAUCUAAUAAAGAUGUUAAAUUUUUACUUUAAUUAUGGAAGGUCCUCUUUUAA